rnacentral:rRNA from 1 species
UAAUGGGUCAGCGACUUAUAUUCAGUGGCAAGGUUAACCAUCUAGGGGAGCCGUAGGGAAACCGAGUCUUAACUGGGCGUUCAGUCUCUGGAUAUAGACCCGAAACCAGGUGAUCUAGCCAUGGGCAGGUUGAAGGUUGAGUAACAUCAACUGGAGGACCGAACCGACUAAUGUUGAAAAAUUAGCGGAUGACUUGUGGCUAGGGGUGAAAGGCCAAUCAAACCUGGAGAUAGCUGGUUCUCCCCGAAAGCUAUUUAGGUAGCGCCUCGGACGAAUACUACUGGGGGUAGAGCACUGUUAAGGCUAGGGGGUCAUCCCGACUUACCAACCCUUUGCAAACUCCGAAUACCAGUAAGUACUAUCCGGGAGACACACGGCGGGUGCUAACGUCCGUCGUGGAGAGGGAAACAACCCAGACCGCCAGCUAAGGUCCCAAAUUACUACUAAGUGGGAAACGAUGUGGGAAGGCUCAGACAGCCAGGAUGUUGGCUUAGAAGCAGCCAUCAUUUAAAGAAAGCGUAAUAGCUCACUGGUCGAGUCGGCCUGCGCGGAAGAUGUAACGGGGCUAAGUAG